UACGGGGGGGGCAAGCGUUGUUCGGAAUUACUGGGCGUAAAGGGCUUGUAGGUGGCCAACUAAGUCAGACGUGAAAUCCCUCGGCUUAACCGGGGAACUGCGUCUGAUACUGGAUGGCUUGAGUGUGGGAGAGGGAUGCGGAAUUCCAGGUGUAGCGGUGAAAUGCGUAGAUAUCUGGAGGAACACCGGUGGCGAAGGCGGCAUUCUGGACCGACAUUGACGCUGAGGAGCGAAAGCCAGGGGAGCAAACGGG
rnacentral:rRNA from 1 species